GUCUGAAGGACAGCUCCAUUGGUAGAGCAUGAGUCUCUUAAUCUCAAGGUUGAGGGUUCAAGCUCCACUUUGGGUG